rnacentral:rRNA from 1 species
UACGGAGGGUGCGAGCGUUGUCCGGAAUCACUGGGCGUAAAGGGCUCGUAGGUGGCCAACUAAGUCAGACGUGAAAUCCCUCGGCUUAACCGGGGAACUGCGUCUGAUACUGGUUGGCUUGAAUCCGGGAGAGGGAUGUGGAAUUCCAGGUGUAGCGGUGAAAUGCGUAGAUAUCUGGAGGAACACCGGUGGCGAAGGCGGCAUCCUGGACCGGUAUUGACGCUGAGGAGCGAAAGCUAGGGGAGCAAACGGG